UUAUAAAAUUUUACUUUUUGUAUAAAAUAUACUAAAAAGUUUAAUUUUGGCUUUGAGAUUCAUUAUAAGGUUAUUUUACAUGGAUUAUUUAUUUAAAAAUUUUUUUGUCAGUAAUUAUUAUUGAAAAAUUAUAAAUGUAAGUUUCAGUAAAUUUUAAAAAUCUAAUUAAAUUUGUGCCAGCAAUUGCGGUUACACAAAUGGAUUAAUGAAUUUAUUUGGUAUUAAAUGUUAAUUUAUUUGGUUUAAAAUUUUAAUUUUUAGGUGAAAUUUAAAUUAAAAUUUUUAUUUUUAUGAUUUUUAAUUUAUUAAAAUUUAAAAUAAAACUAGGAUUAGAUACCCUAUUAUUUAAAUAGUAAAAAAAAUUACCUGAUUAGUAUUAGUUAUGUUCUUGAAAAUUAAAAAAUUUGGCGGUAUUUUAGUCAGUUCAGAGGAACCUGUCCUAUAAUUGAUAUUCCACGAUAAGUUUCACUUUUUCUUUAAGUUUGUAUAUCGUUGUUUAGAAUUUUUUUUUAGAAUUAUAAUUUUCAAUUUUUACAAUGAUAAAAUAUGUCAAAUCAAGGUGCAGCUUAUGAAAAAGAAGAGAUGGGUUACAAUAAAAAUAUUUUUGAAUUAUAAAUUUAGAUUUUUAUAUGAAAAUGGAUUUGAUAGUAAUUUUUAAUAUUUAUUAGAAAUGAUUCAUGCUCUAAAAUAUGCACAUAUUGCCCGUCACUCUCAUUUAAAUUGGGAUAAGUCGUAACAAAGUAGGUGUACUGGAAAGUGUACCUAGAAUUAU
rnacentral:ncRNA from 1 species